rnacentral:rRNA from 1 species
AUUGAACGCUGGCGGCAGGCCUAACACAUGCAAGUCGAGCGGAGCGGCGGACGGGUGAGUAAUGCCUAGGAAUCUGCCUGGUAGUGGGGGAUAACGUCCGGAAACGGGCGCUAAUAUCGCAUACUAUCAGAUGAGCCUAGGUCGGAUUAGCUAGUUGGUGGGGUAAAGGCCUACCAAGGCGACGAUCCGUAACUGGUCUGAGAGGAUGAUCAGUCACACUGGAACGGAGACACGGGCAGGACUCCGACGGAAGCAAGCAGUGGGGAAUAUUGGACAAUGGGAGAAAGCCUGAUCCAGCCAUGCGGCGUGUGUGAAGAAGGUCUUCGAAUUGUAAAGAACUUUAAGUUGGGAGGCGUGACCAAAAGAAUAAGCACCGGCUAACUUCGUGCCAGCCGCCGCGGUAAUAC